UACGUAGGCAGCGAGCGUUGUUCGGAAUUACUGGGCGUAAAGAGUGUGUAGGCGGUGCUCUAAGUCUGGUGUGAAAUCUCCCGGCUCAACUGGGAGGGUGCGCCGGAAACUGGAGUGCUCGAGUGUGGGAGAGGUAAGCGGAAUUCCUGGUGUAGCGGUGAAAUGCGUAGAUAUCAGGAGGAACACCUGUGGUGUAGACAGCUUACUGGACCAUGACUGACGCUGAGACACGAAAGCGUGGGUAGCAAACAGG
rnacentral:rRNA from 1 species